GACGAACGCUGGCGGCGUGCUUAACACAUGCAAGUCGAACGGAGUGGCGAACGGGUGAGUAACACGUUGGUGAUCUGCCUUGCACUUCGGGAUAAGCUUGUGAAACUCGGUCUAAUACCGGAUAGUGCAGAAUGAGCUCGCGGCCUAUCAGCUUGUUGGUGGGGUAAUGGCCUACCAAGGCGUCGACGGGUAGCCGGCCUGAGAGGGUGUACGGCCACAUUGGGACUGAGAUACGGCCCAGACUCCUACGGGAGGCAGCAGUGGGGAAUAUUGCACAAUGGGCGGAAGCCGGAUGCAGCGACGCCGCGUGGGGGAUGAAGGCCUUCGGGUUGUAAACUCCUUUCUACAGGGACGCGGGAGCUGAAGAAGAAGAACGGGCGAACUACGUGCCAGCAGCCGCGGUAAUAG
rnacentral:rRNA from 1 species